rnacentral:rRNA from 1 species
GACGAACGCUGGCGGCGUGCUUAACACAUGCAAGUCGAACGGAAAGGCCCUGCUUUUGUGGGGUGCUCGUGUGGCGAACGGGUGAGUAACACGUGAGUAACCUGCCCUUGACUUUGGGAUAACUUCAGGAAACUGGGGCUAAUACCGGAUAGGAGCUCCUGCUGCAUGGUGGGGGUUGGAAAGUUUCGGCGGUUGGGGAUGGACUCGCGGCUUAUCAGCUUGUUGGUGGGGUAGUGGCUUACCAAGGCUUUGACGGGUAGCCGGCCUGAGAGGGUGACCGGCCACAUUGGGACUGAGAUACGGCCCAGACUCCUACGGGAGGCAGCAGUGGGGAAUAUUGCACAAUGGGCGGAAGCCUGAUGCAGCAACGCCGCGUGCGGGAUGACGGCCUUCGGGUUGUAAACCGCUUUCGCCUGUGACGAAGCGUGAGUGACGGUAAUGGGUAAAGAAGCACCGGCUAACUACGUGCCAGCAGCCGCGGUGAUACGUAGGGUGCGAGCGUUGUCCGGAUUUAUUGGGCGUAAAGGGCUCGUAGGUGGUUGAUCGCGUCGGAAGUGUAAUCUUGGGGCUUAACCCUGAGCGUGCUUUCGAUACGGGUUGACUUGAGGAAGGUAGGGGAGAAUGGAAUUCCUGGUGGAGCGGUGGAAUGCGCAGAUAUCAGGAGGAACACCAGUGGCGAAGGCGGUUCUCUGGGCCUUUCCUGACGCUGAGGAGCGAAAGCGUGGGGAGCGAACAGGCUUAGAUACCCUGGUAGUCCACGCUGUAAACGGUGGGUACUAGGUGUGGGGUCCAUUCCACGGGUUCCGUGCCGUAGCUAACGCUUUAAGUACCCCGCCUGGGGAGUACGGCCGCAAGGCUAAAACUCAAAGGAAUUGACGGGGCCCCGCACAAGCGGCGGAGCAUGCGGAUUAAUUCGAUGCAACGCGUAGAACCUUACCUGGGUUUGACAUGGAUCGGGAGCGCUCAGAGAUGGGUGUGCCUCUUUUGGGGUCGGUUCACAGGUGGUGCAUGGCUGUCGUCAGCUCGUGUCGUGAGAUGUUGGGUUAAGUCCCGCAACGAGCGCAACCCUUGUUCACUGUUGCCAGCACGUUAUGGUGGGGACUCAGUGGAGACCGCCGGGGUCAACUCGGAGGAAGGUGGGGAUGACGUCAAGUCAUCAUGCCCCUUAUGUCCAGGGCUUCACGCAUGCUACAAUGGCUGGUACAGAGAGUGGCGAGCCUGUGAGGGUGAGCGAAUCUCGGAAAGCCGGUCUCGGUUCGGAUUGGGGUCUGCAACUCGACCUCAUGAAGUCGGAGUCGCUAGUAAUCGCAGAUCAGCAACGCUGCGGUGAAUACGUUCCCGGGGCU